rnacentral:rRNA from 1 species
AGAACGAACGCUGGCGGCAUGCCUAACACAUGCAAGUCGAACGAUGCUUUCGGGCAUAGUGGCGCACGGGUGCGUAACGCGUGGGAAUCUGCCCCUUGGUUCGGAAUAACAGUUAGAAAUGACUGCUAAUACCGGAUGACGACGUAAGUCCAAAGAUUUAUCGCCGAGGGAUGAGCCCGCGUAGGAUUAGCUAGUUGGUGAGGUAAUGGCUCACCAAGGCGACGAUCCUUAGCUGGUCUGAGAGGAUGAUCAGCCACACUGGGACUGAGACACGGCCCAGACUCCUACGGGAGGCAGCAGUGGGGAAUAUUGGACAAUGGGCGCAAGCCUGAUCCAGCAAUGCCGCGUGAGUGAUGAAGGCCUUAGGGUUGUAAAGCUCUUUACCAGGGAUGAUAAUGACAGUACCUGGAGAAUAAGCUCCGGCUAACUCCGUGCCAGCACGCCGCGGUAA